AUUGAACGCUGGCGGCAUGCCUUACACAUGCAAGUCGAACGGUAACAGGUCUUCGGAUGCUGACGAGUGGCGAACGGGUGAGUAAUACAUCGGAACGUGCCUAGUAGUGGGGGAUAACUACUCGAAAGAGUGGCUAAUACCGCAUGAGAUCUACGGAUGAAAGCAGGGGAUCGCAAGACCUUGUGCUACUAGAGCGGCCGAUGGCAGAUUAGGUAGUUGGUGGGAUAAAAGCUUACCAAGCCGACGAUCUGUAGCUGGGCUGAGAGGACGAUCAGCCACACUGGGACUGGGAAACAGCCCAGACUCCUACGGGAGGCAGCAGUGGGGAAUUUUGGACCAUGGGCGCAAGCCUGAUCCAGCAAUGCCGCGUGCAGGAUGAAGGCCUUCGGGUUGUAAACUGCUUUUGUACGGAACGAAAAGCCCCGGGUUAAUACCCUGGGGUCAUGACGGUACCGUAAGAAUAAGCACCGGCUAACUACGUGCCAGCCGCCGCGGUAA
rnacentral:rRNA from 1 species